rnacentral:lncRNA from 1 species
UUUUUAUGAUAUUUAGGGUUAUUUUUUUGGAGGGAAAUUGAAAUAAUUUUUUGUUUAUCAAGGACAAUUAGGGCAAAUUUUUGAAUUUUACACAUGUGUUUUCAAUAUUUCCUAUAAAGGCAUGCAAUAAAAGAAAACUGGUACUUGGAAUUUUACCAUUGUUUAUUGAAAUUUGAUAUUCCAAAGGGGAAAAAGUAAAAAUGCAUGUUUUAUUCUUAAGGGAACCAGUCUCUACCUCUUUAAUCCAAUAUUCCUUUUCACUGGCACUAGCAUUAUUUACUUGGCAAGCCAUGAAUAUUAGAUGUUUAAAAUCUUAUUUUCUGUUAUGUGUAAAUAUC